AUUGAACGCUGGCGGCAGGCCUAACACAUGCAAGUCGAGCGAGCGGCGGACGGGAGAGCAAUGUCUGGGAAUUGCCCAGUCGAGGGGUAUAACAGUUGGAAACGACUGCUAAUACCGCAUACGAUUGGAUUGCCCAGGUGGGUUUAGCUAGUUGGUGAGGUAAUGGCGCACCAAGGCGAAGAUCCCUAGCUGGUAAGAGAGUGUGAUCAGCCACACUGGAACUGAGAAACGGUCCAGACUCCUACGGGAGGCAGCAGUGGGGAAUAUGGGACAAUGGGGGAAACCCUGAUGCAGCAAUGCCGCGUGUGUGAAGAAGGCCUUCGGGUUGUAAAGCACUUUCAGCGGGGAGGCGUUACUCGCAGAAGAAGCACCGGCUAACUCCGUGCCAGCAGCCGCGGUAAUAC
rnacentral:rRNA from 1 species